AUUGAACGCUGGCGGCAUGCCUUACACAUGCAAGUCGAACGGUAACGGGCCUUCGGGUGCCGACGAGUGGCGAACGGGUGAGUAAUGUAUCGGAACGUACCUUUCAGUGGGGGAUAACGUAGCGAAAGUUACGCUAAUACCGCAUAUUCUGUGAGCAGGAAAGCAGGGGAUCGCAAGACCUUGCGCUGAUUGAGCGGCCGAUAUCAGAUUAGCUAGUUGGUGAGGUAAAGGGCUCACCAAGGCGACGAUCUGUAGCGGGUCUGAGAGGAUGAUCCGCCACACUGGAACUGAGACACGGUCCAGACUCCUACGGGAGGCAGCAGUGGGGAAUUUUGGACAAUGGGGGCAACCCUGAUCCAGCCAUGCCGCGUGAGUGAAGAAGGCCUUC
rnacentral:rRNA from 1 species